UGGUACUUAGUUUAAACAAAACAAAUGAUUUCGACUCAUUAGAUUAUGAUUAAGCUCAUAACUACCAA
rnacentral:tRNA from 1 species